AUGACGCUAUAUCAGCAAUUAUCUGAGCAAUAUACCUUACAAGACUGCUAUGAGGUUGGACUAGUUGAUAAAACCCUGGCGAAUGAGGCACCCUUUGAUAUUUGCAGUUGCCAAUUUGCCUUGCAUUACUCCUGGUCCACGGAAGCGCGUGCAAGGAGAGCCCUGGCUAAUAUUUCAGCCUCGCUUCGCCCCGGCGGAACUUUCAUUGGAACCAUGCCAGACGCCAAUGUGAUCAUCAAGAAGCUGAGACAAACUCAAGGAUUGUUCUUUGGAAACAGUGUGUACUGGGUGAGAUUUGAUGAGGAAUUUUCUGAAAAGAAAUUCAAGUCUUCAAGCCCCUUUAGUAUCAAGUACAUGUUUCACCUUGAGGGUUGUGUUGAUUGCCCUGAAUGGCUCGUCCCCUUUCACGUAUUCAAAUCAUUGGCAGAAGAGUACGGUAUGGAGUUGGUUUUUGUGAAAAACAAUCACAAGUUUGUACACGAGUAUAUGAAGCUACCAGAGUAUGAGGCUUUGAUGCAGACGAUUGGUGCGUUAGGGGGUCAAAAUUCAAUAUAAAAGACGAAUGGGAAGUGGCCUAUCUAUACCUGUCCUUUGUCUUGAGGAAACGAGGCCAACCAGCUUGAAAUUCAUCCAACACC